UACGUAGGGUGCAAGCGUUAAUCGGAAUUACUGGGCGUAAAGCGUGCGCAGGCGGUUGUGUAAGACAGAUGUGAAAUCCCCGGGCUUAACCUGGGAACUGCGUUUCUAACUGGCAGGCUUGAGUGUGGCAGAGGGGGGUGGAAUUCCGACGUGUAGCAGUGAAAUGCGUAGAGAUGUGGAGGAACACCGAUGGCGAAGGCAGAUCUCUGGGCCGUAACUGACGCUGAGGAGCGAAAGCAUGGGGAGCGAACAGG
rnacentral:rRNA from 1 species